rnacentral:rRNA from 1 species
GAUGAACGCUGGCGGCGUGCCUAAUACAUGCAAGUCGAGCGAACAGACGAGGAGCUUGCUCCUCUGACGUUAGCGGCGGACGGGUGAGUAACACGUGGAUAACCUACCUAUAAGACUGGGAUAACUUCGGGAAACCGGAGCUAAUACCGGAUAAUAUAUUGAACCGCAUGGUUCAAUAGUGAAAGACGGUUUUGCUGUCACUUAUAGAUGGAUCCGCGCCGCAUUAGCUAGUUGGUAAGGUAACGGCUUACCAAGGCAACGAUGCGUAGCCGACCUGAGAGGGUGAGCGGCCACACUGGAACUGAGACACGGUCCAGACUCCGACGGGAGGCAGCAGUAGGGAAUCUUCCGCAAUGGGCGAAAGCCUGACGGAGCAACGCCGCGUGAGUGAUGAAGGUCUUCGGAUCGUGAAACUCUGUUAUUAGGGAAGAACAAAUGUGUAAGUAACUAUGCACGUCUUGACGGUACCUAAUCAGAAAGCCACGGCUAACUACGUG